UUGGGUUUAUUACUCUGGUAUUAAAUGUGAAUCAUGUGUAAUUUGAACUUGUAUAUUCGUUGUUUGUGUUAUAGCUUUUGGCUUUUAAUGAUAGUUUACCUGAGCUAGAAUGAAAACAGAAAAACACAAAGAUGGUUUGACAUCAGAAAUAUUUUGUUUUGUUUUUGACUGUAGCCGAUGUUAUCACGUGAUCGAUUGGAUGCAUGGUUUUACUAAAAUGGAAAUUUUUAACCUGGCCAACAAAAACAAAAGGAUGAUGGUUGCCUUCAAAAUGUCUUUGAAAAUGGGGCAAUGGAAAAGGCUCACAUUUGGGUAGACAAAGUUUUAAAAGAUUCAAUGGGUCAAAUUGAAACUCAUUGUUUUACCAAAUCAUGUGACACAAUUUAAAUUAUUGUAUCUUUGAAAAUUGAAUUUAUUUGGUGUGACACAAUUUAAAUUAUUGUAUUUUUUAAAAUUGAAUCGACUCAAGUUUUGACUAAUUGAAUUUAUUUGGUGUGACAUAAUUUGGAUCAUUGUAUUUUUGAAAAUUGAAUCUACUUAAGUUUUGGCUAACCGGAAGAUACUGGAGUAGUCUGUCACAAGUUGCAUUGGACAUUGGAUAAUAGCUGUUGCCUUCGGCCCUUCGAUAGUUAGUGUGUGUUGGUGAUAUGGUCCUCAUGACAGUUUUUUCUAUCUUCUUUUUGUAUUCCCACCCCUUGCUACAUUCUUUCACCCCCAACUGUUUAUUCGGCCAUAGGUUUGAAUUCUGCAACCCUUUUUGUGGAUCAUAAGGUGGUUACCAGCUAAUAGGAAUAACAAAGCAAAAAUUUUCAAAUAAGUAGAAAAUUUCAAAUGGCAAACUCUCCCCUAAUAACUGUACCAUUCUGGUGAUUAAAUUUUCUCAUGUUUGUUUUGAGGUGUGCUUGGAUGGCAAUUGUGCAGUUUUUUUAAUAUAUCAAACAUUUUUUAUUAUAUUUUUUUUUAUCAUACACACAAAUAUUCAUCAAAAGAGCGUUGUACUAUGAUUUUUCUAAAACUUUGAAAAACCACAUUUUGGUUCACUUUUGACUAAUAUGUCAAUUAUUCGAAAGAUUUCUUGCAACUUUAGUACUAAGGUUUAAAAUACGUCAGCUGUGUUUAGGGAUGGAAAUCGAAAUCGGUAAUUAGAACUUUGAAAUCGAAAUUUUUCGGAAUUUUGGUAUCAGAAUUUUCAACCGAUUUUGAUUUAGAAUUCACCAAUUCCGAAUUCAAAUUCGUUCCGAAUUCAAUUCGAAAUUCGGUAAAUUCCGAUUUCACCGAAUUCAUGAAUAUAAAAAUUAUUAUUAUUAUUAUAUAAAUAUUAUAUUACAUAUAUAUAAAAAUAUUAUAUAUAUGUGUGAAAAUGAAAUUGUUAUCGAAAUAGGAAUUCCGAUUUCACCGAAUUCAUGAAUAUAAAAAUUAUUAUUAUAAUAUAAAUGUUAUAUUAUAUAUAUAUAUAUGAAAAAACAGAUUUGAAAUCGAAAUAGAAAUUCUGAAUUCCGAUUUGAAAAAUCUCAUUACUGAAUUCGACCCGAAUUCGAAUCAGACAUUCGAUUUCCGUUCCGAAUUACGAAUUCCGGAAUUCGAAAUUCCGAAUUCAAUUUGAAUCGAUCGGUAAAUCGGAAUUUUCGAUUUUGCACACCCUACCUGUGUUCCAAAACUCAUUAACUCAACUUAGAUGAUAGGAAUAUUGCCAGACUACGGUGAAGUCCCAAGUUCAUCUUUUAAAUCCUCUCUUUUCCCCUUUUCGGAUUGACGUCUCCCUUUGAACUAAAAGAAGUAUAUCACCUUUGUAUUAAAAAGUAAUAUAAAAUUACACUUAAAAAAUAUUUUGACAUAGACAAGUACCAGGCUAAGUUAAUCCGCUGAAAGCCCUUUUUGUUUUGUUUUAAUUUUUUUUUAAAAAUCAUUAACAGGCAGUUCAACAUAUUAUUAUUAGGACUAGGUUAGAACUUAAGUCACAAUUAAUUAGGUGAUGUGAGGAUCAAGGGAUGGAUCAACUAUAACUGCUUGUUGCAUUUCGUUCAUGUGGCCCGCAUAAUUGCGGAAUGAUUACUUUUAAUGGAAGGUUAAUUAAAGUUCCAAUCAUAGACCUAAUAAGUGCAAUUAGCUUAAUCCAGUUGUUUGGUCAAUGUGGUUGAUACAAUUAAGAACAAGUACCAUAUCAGCUUUUAAUUAAAUGUGUCAAGGACCAGUACUUUUUCAGAUUGAGAACAAUAACACCAUUUCACCACACAUCCCACAUCUGGCACCUAACUCCAUUAAAAAACGAUUAGAUGGUAGCUAAGAGGGGAAUAACAGCUUCGAUGUUUUUUAAUUAAUACAUUUCAUUUUCAGUCAUUUGUUUUUAUUUUUUUUAAUUAAUUGUCUUUGAAGCCAUUGCAUCGUUGCUUGCAUGUAUUUUAGUUGGCAUGUCAUGGGUAAUUUAAUUUGCACAUCAAUAACUUCGUCUAGAAGGGCUUAAUCUCAAGGGUAGUUUUAUAGUAUCUUCUGAAUAUCAUACUCAUGAGUAUCAUCAAUUCAUCGUUCGAUGUGUAAAAGGAGUCAUCAGUUCUCAGAUAAUUUUAGGAGUUUCAAUAUUGAAUGAUAUGGUAAGAGUUUAUUAAAUUAUAAUCACCGAGAUGGUAAAAAUUCCCAAUCUGAGGGUCUAAUCUCGGAAGGUCUAUUGAUACCUGGCCGACAAAACCAAAACUUUCAAGUGUAUUAAACAUAUUUUAAUCCAAGAUAGAACAAGACUGCAGUAGGUGAUCAAUUAGCCAACUAGCUAGACAUCCUCUCUUGGUUGUCCUGUCUUUAGCAGCAGGGAUGUGAGGCCAUUGAUCCAUCUCAUCCAUUGAUUCUUGAUUACAUCCCAAAAAUGUUGGUGGGCAUUUGAUAUUAAAAAGCAAGUCUUCCUUCUGGUUCAGACAUGAAUGAAAGACACUUCACACUGCUUAGCUACAAAUGAUUGUGACGAAAAUUAUUUCUUGUUUUCCAACCAACAAAUUUGGUCCCACUAUUUUGGAGAUAUUAUUGGUUAUUGUCUUUAAUUGAUGUAAUGUCCUAACAAACAUCUCGGUUGUAAAUUACCAUCUGAUUGAGAUUUGAGGAGCCCAACAGCGGCCGCUAUCCCUUGGAAGUCUUGGAAUCCUUAACUAAUCAAAUACCAAAUGACUUGCUUAGUUAAUACUUAAUGCAACACAUAUUACUGUCGGUCGAAAAUACCGAAAUAGGUCAAUAUUUAGCUACACGAGAUGCUAAUAUCAAGUGAAUAUUGAGAUCAAUUUCGAGACUCAUGAAUGUGAAAUGGAGUCUGUUUUGAAUAAUUUCAAUAAGUCACUGGCCUAAAAUAUUACUGUUUGAUUCAUUAACAAGUCAUUAGGGAAAAAUGUUCUGUUAAUUUGUUUGUCUAAAUGAUAUGUUAGAAGGAUCUUGCAGCUACUGCAUGAUUUGUCAUUGCAAAUUCAGGAAUUAUGUUCAAUAGCAUCUCAUCUGGUAAGUUUAACAGAUUGCAAAUUAUGAAAUUAUUGAUUAAAAUAUUGCUAAUCUUGUCAAAUCUUCAGUUUAUUGAUAAAUUAAGCAAUCAAGUUGUCAAGGGGUAGCGUAGCACAUCUAAGGUGUCAUUCUAAGUUGUUAAGUUUUGGGGUCAUUUGUGGUAGUUGAUUUUUGAUCAAUUUUUUCAUCAAUUGGAGGGAAAAUGAUCAGACUAAAAGAUUAUAAUAUAUGCAAGCUUUCGAUCAUAUAAAAGAAUGUAGAAUAGGGAUGAUGGUUGGGGUACUAACAAAUGAAGUAGCACUAUGGAUGAGAGAAUAACUAAUCAAAUACAACCAGAUAGGUGAGAUAAAAGUUUGGUAUAUCAAGAGAAAAUUUUAGCGCUAGCAGCUCAAAAGUAGAGAUGAUUUUUUUUUUUCAAAGCAGCAUAAUAGAAAAUUGCAUUAUACAAAGGCAUGGGAAAUUAAGCAGAAACCUUCAUGUCCCUCAAAAUAAUAGGGGAAAUAUGCCUAGAUGUCUUCAUGUGUGCAAACAUAAAAAAUGUCUUUGGCAAUGUAGGGGGAUGUCUCAAGAACAUAGUUAUAAAACACGGCCCGACUCGAUGGUCCAAUAGAUCAAUUUGAUGAAUUGGCCAAAAUGUCGGGUUGGAUCACUAAUUAGAUCGGUUAAGCAUUAAAUUCGUUUGACCAAUCAACGAUCUGAAGAUUCAAUCAAUGAAUCAGAAAAGAAUUACCGAUUGAACUGUCAACUUAAAGAUUUUAUUAUUUUUAUAAUUUAAAACAUAUUAUUAUAAUAUAUAAUAAAGCUAUUGUGUAACUCGCGAUUGAACCGGUGAGUCGGUCACCUCUUUUGACUAAGCUACGAGCUGAAUUUAAUAACUAUGCUCAAGAGGUUGAAGUAACAAUAUUUGAUUACUUUGAGACAUGAGAAAUUUCAAUCUAUUUAAACCUUUUUUUUGAAGAAAAAAAGUAGACAAUUUUAUUAAAGAGAUUACUAGAACCUGUCCAACACCAUUUGCGUUACAAAGAUUAUAGAGGGUAGUUCCAAAAAAUGUUGGCCAACUUGACAAAAUGUGCUAAAUUAUGUACGACUCUAUUUACUUCUCUUGGGAUCUAAAUUACAUCCACAUCGUGUUUGUCCAAGGCAAAACGCCUGCCUUCAAUUACAGAGCCUAUGCCCGAGAGGAUCUCCACUGACCUGAACCUUUCGUAAUUUACGAACCAAGAAAUUUAAACUCUUGCGGACACUACCAGUUUGUUCAAUUCACUGCAAAAAACUAAUUAUAUUGUCUUUCUUCUACAAUUUUUUUUUCUAAAUUUUAGGCUAAUAUAAGUUUAAUAAGAUGUUAAAAAGAAACAAAUCGUAACUCGUAGCAAUUUUAACUAGGAGGACUAUAAUGCUUUGAUUCAAGUCAGACUACAAAAGAAACCCAAUGUACACAUUAGAGAGCAUGGAGUACCACUUGUACCCCAUGUUGAGGCAUAAGGGCAAGCAUCUGUACAGGAGAGUGUACAUAACUUGGGGAGAGUGUGAAAGCAUAUCUCUGCAAAAUCAUUGAGAGUGCGAUCUUUACUUCAGUGAUUGCAAAAUUCGAGCCAACACAUGUUCGAGGUCCAAGGCUGAAAGGCAAAAAUGCUGCUGGAUUGUUGAUCUUGGUUGCUCCAGAAACCCCUUGUUCUGGAAAAGAUGGGCAUCAUCUCCCCAUAUCUGAGGGUCAUGGUGAACUGCUAAGAUUGCAAUAGAUAUGUUUAGAUCAGCAGGAAGCUUGUAGUUCCCUAAUUUUGCUCCUUCCUUUGUUGUUCUUCUUGCGUAGAUUGCUGGGGGAUAGAGUCUUAGAGUCUCAUUAAUGAUCAUGCUAAUCUGCACAAACAGAUGGAAAUCAGAAUCAUAAGAGAGGAAUAAAGUUCCUUCUGAUCAUUUGAAGGCGAACUCCAAGAAGUUCUUGUUUUCUUUCAUCUUCAAUCCACAUGUUAUAGUAUAAUAUUGAUGAUCAUAGCCGUAGGUAUGGAUUAAAAUAAAACGGUAUAAACAAUAGAUUGCCCUCCCUCUCCAUUAUCCUAAUCUAAUGUUGUAGAAAUAGCCUAAAAUUAAGAAAAAAAAAGAAAGAAAUUUUACAUACCGUUUUCAGUCUUGAAAUCCCUUCUGAAUUUGGGGGUCUUGUCCAAAUAAUUUGGUCACCUCUUCCCUGGCUUUCUCUUGCCAAUCAGUGUUGAUUGCUAGAAGAAGAAUUGUCCAUGAGAGCAAAAUUGAUGUUGUUCCAUGUCCAGCACCAUAAAAUGUCUUGCACUCAUCGAUUAUUUCUUCAAUAGAUAUGUUAUCAUUUUCACUACUACAAUCAUAAUGAGCUUUUAGAAGUAAUCCAAGAAAAUCUUCUCCAAAGCUUUGCUUAUCAUCCCCCUUUUUCCCUUUCUCCCUUUUCUUCACAAUUUCUACAAUGGAAUCUUGAAUUCCUUUCUCAAGUUUAUCCGAUUCUAUAUCAUCUCCGUCUUUGAAAAACUUCCUGAAAAAUUGAUCAGUAAAAAGAAUCAAGAAAAAGAAAAGAUAGUAGCUAUGUUAGGUACAUAAAUAGCUUGCUAAAUUGGAUUGCUGAAAUAAUAAGGACUUUUCAUCCCACACUAGAGUUUAUAAAGUGAAACAACAUCUAUUGGCCAGAGUAGUCCCCUAAUGCUUAAAGUCCGGAUUGGAUCACACAAAACCCCAACUGCUCUGAGUCCGGAUUCAAGGAAACAAAUGACUAUGGUAGUACUGCAAAAAGGUUCUAGCUUAAAGUAAUUACUAAAGGCAACUAACAAAACCAAUAUACACCUUCAACACACUUAGACAGGAGAAAUUUUAUCUUGAUGCAGACUAACUACAUGGUAAGCCUAGUAUUUGGUCUUUAACGAAUGUGAUAUUAUUGGCAAUAGCAAUUCACCGAAUUGUUCUUUAAUCUGACAUUAGUGGGUUCCACAAUAUUAUUUGAAGCUUCUUCAUUAGUUAAAAACCAACUAUUAAACUUCUCAAGUAGUUAGUCCUAUCGAGAUGAAAUUUCUUGAUUAGACACGUUGACCACAAAUAGCAAUAUAUCAAUUGGCAAUCAUGGGCUAUGAUCCCACGUAUGUAAUUCAAUAAGACCAAACAUAUAAUCACCUAAGGAAACUUUGACAUGUAAGUUGACAUUAUUAAAGUAUGGUUUAAUUAAUACAUUCUGACAUUAUCUCCUUUAAACCAAAUUCUUUAUUAAGAUUAUCACCUAAGAAUUCUUUAUCACCGAAUUCUUUUUUGAAGUUGUUGUAUUUAUUUUUUACUGAAUUAAUAGUUAUUGGAUCUUAAGGAAACAAAAAAGAACUAAACCAUGAUAUUUAUGAAGGAGAAAUAGCAAUAUAAUAAAAAGUGGGACAGAGAGUGGCACAGGGUAUAGGACAGAAGAUUCGUUGUGAAUCAAAUGCCAUCUCGAGCUACAAACUCUAUGGAAAACUCGGUCUUUGUAUAAAUCAUGUGCAACUCCAUCAUCUUGUUCCUUUGAUCUUUUUAGAUUUUUUUUUUUUCAAAAUAAAAUGCCAUAGCAAUUAUGGCUUCCUCAGGACUAAUCACAUCAUCAAAUAUAAAGAUAUUCUUGCUGGGGCUUCUGCCUCUAUUAACAACAAUUGAAGGAAAAGAUUUUCGUUUCUGUUAACCAACCAAAGUCAAAUGAUGUAAUCUGGCAAGCAUCAAUAAAAAGCUGUAGCAUGAAAUCAUCACCAUCAACUUUUAUUGGACUGCUGUCAAGGGUAAAAUUCCUUUUCAUGAUUCAAAAAUCAUAAAGCAGGGUCUAAUUCUUUCUCAUAAUUGAAGAUGGCAGGUUGAAAUGGUGUUCCACAGAUCAGUAUUUGAAAUGAACACAGAUACAUGUCAAAAUUGACUAUAAGCUAUGCAACAUACAAGUGGGCAUCAUGGAGAUGUUUACCUGAUGAAUGGAGGCUUAAGUUUGUAUGCAAUCUUGCCAGUUAAAAUCCCCAGCCUUUUCAUCAUGUUAAAUAUUUGUUCACCCUCCACAUAACUACUUCCAAAUGCAGUCCUAGAGAUGACCUCUGCAGUUAACAACAUGAACUCUUCACUGACAUCAAUUUCCUUGCCAUCAUAAUCUCUCCACCUUCUCAGCAUCAUCUCAACACUUUCAACCAUUGCUGGGGUCAUAUCCUAGAAAAGCCAAAAUAUUACUUAAUCGUAUAAUUAAUAUAAAGAUGUAGAUGAAUGCCACAACAACAAAACACUUGGGGUGUUAAAACUUUGUUGAUUUAGUCCUUUGCAAUUAGCAUUUUAAUGCACGAAUAAAUAUGCUUUUUCAAUUGCCAUGAGAAUUGUCUUCAUGUUUGACAAAAACGUGUAAUUUUGUUUUUCUAUAUAUUAGGAUUUUUUGCUGUGGGUAAUCAAUUUGAGAUACAUAAAUUUCCCAUCAAAGUGUAUGCAUUCUGAGGAUAUGCAAAAAGGGAAUGAAUUAAUUAGGAAGGGCUAAUUCUACUUUGCACCUUUAAAUUUAUACUCCAUUUCAUCUCGUAUUCUAAAUUUUAAUUUUAGACACUUCACACUGUAACAUCUCAAAUAUUUUCCGCUUAAGUCCAGUCGAUAAAAACAUUAAGAAUUGGAGAACCAGGCGUCACUGCAUUUUUUGCAUGACUGUUAGAUGAUGGUAAAUAUACUAUCACCUGUUAGAGUGACUAAGGUAUAAGAUAUGUGUAUGAUCCUCUAGUCAAUAAGUUUUUGAUAAAGUUGUUGUUGGUUGACUUAAGUCGCACAUAUAGGAGAGGACAGAGUGGAAAGUAUCCAAAACUGAAGUUCAAAUUGCAAAGUGAGAAUUGGUUACAAAUUUGGGGUGCAAAGUAGAAAGCUCCAAUGUGUAAUCAACCUGUCUUCUUUACUAGACUCUUGAUUUACAGUUUUUUUUUUUUUUUUUUGGGUACUACUCUUCAUUUACAGUUGAAAAGGUCCAAUGUGCAAUUGACAAAGAAAUAAUUAAGAAAAAUAUAAGUGAAUACCCCAAAACAUUAAACAAUCAAUACCAACCCACAUUAAACUUCUAGAUUUGAUUGUUCUACAUAAGUUCACAUGCCAGUAGAAGUAUAUAUAUAUAUUUUUUCACUUAAGGGUAUCCCAAUCUUUUGGCCAGACUAGUCCCCUAAAAGUGUAGAGUCUUGCUCUAAGGAUAUACAACGAAAUAGCACACAGGGUCGAUCAUGAGACCUGUUGGUAACUAUCAGACUAUGAAACUAGUUGGACUACUCCCGCCGCAACUACACGCCGGAGGCACAUAUCAGCAGAAGUAUGAGCAAUAUAAAAUCUGCUUGUUUACGUACUAGGCUGAUGACUUAAUAAAGACCAACUUUUAUAUAAAAAUAAAAGUACCAUGGCCAAAAAAAAAAAUAAAAAUAAAAAAUGACACAAAAGUCUCAUAGAACAACUUUUUUCUUAGACAAGAGGGCAAAAUAAUUGUUCGUUAUUUCUCACAAUACACAAAGUACUAUGAAAUUAUGAAUGCCGUAAUUUAUGUAUUAACAACCCAUUCCAAAUAAAUUAAUAAAUUAAAUGAAAAAGUGUAACUAGCUAAAGUAAGUAUGACUAAUUUGUGGAUCUUACCCUUAAACUCUCACCAUGAAAGGCUUGGUUGGCCAGUUUUCGCAAUUUGACCCAUUUUUCUCCUUCUGAUUGCCCAAGACCACCUCCUACAAUCUUUUUCAAAUAUUUACUCAAUUUUGCUAUGGUAAAAAAUUGUUCCUUAUCAUUCAGUAUUUCUUUUAUGAGAUCCAGAUCUGUGAUAACCAAUUCUGCUCCAGCACCACGCCUCCACCGGAGAAAAAUCUUCCUUCUCCAAAAAAAAUAUCUUGAUUAACUAGGUAAAAGAAGUUGUAACAUAAGCAAAAUGUUUUAGCUAGAUGGGAACAUCAAAACUUUAAACUUGAAAAUCCUAUAGUCGACUGUCCUUAACAUAUGUAACCAGCUACAAUGGCCUACACUCAAUUUGGAAAAGGCAUUUGAGGUGGCAAGUUCCGCUUUGAUUAUCUAACUAUCCACAAAUCAACAUCAAGCCCCCCAAUAACAAAAAAAAACACUAAUCAACAUCAAAUUUUACCUUGAAGAUCUGAUUACCCCCGGGGGGGGGGGAACAAAUAAUACAAGUGAAAAUGAUGUAGCUUACCAUAAAUGUUCAUCCAAGAGUAUAUGUGAGGCUGAAUUACUGGAAAUAUGUCAUGUGAUAAGUUGGUGGUGUUCUCUUUCUUCUUUAGCAAUUCUCUGGGGCUGCCAUGAAGGAUACUACGAGGAGGGCCUUUGAUGCCUUGUGAUUCCAGUCUAUGUUGAAUCCGCAUUGGUUUCCACCAUAUUAUGUGAAGAACUUUGAUCAAAGCAAAGAGUAUGUAAAUCAGAACAAACCCCACAAAGUAAAACUUCAUGGACUCCAUAGAGAAUCAGACCAAAGACUUAUGGCCUUGGCAUGAUCAAGACUGAGAAGCAGAACCAAGAGAAAAGACACUCAAAGAGGUCAAGACUGAAAUUGAGACACAAUUUGCUAGACGAAACUCAUUGAUGCUACAAAACAAGGAAGAUUAAAAAAAUCACACGACUAAUGAGAACAAGUUAAUUAUUAAGCAUAGACAACUGACAUCUCGACACGUUAAUCAAGAAUAUUAGUAAAAUAAUCCGAUUAAAAGAAUAAAGAAUUGUUUGCUUUUGUACCAUUUAUCUAAUUAUUUAUCUACUCCUUGAGCACGUGUCAGUGCAUACUCUAACAACAAAUGUGAAUAAAAUUUGUGACAUAAGUUUCGAAACUUUGGCUUUUGUUCUUUAAGCGUAAAUGGUGUUAGGUCUUGUUGAUUCGAUUGCUGCUACCAAAUAAGGUUACUAAGGAAUGAUUAAUAUUUCAUAGCGAUUGGAUGCAUCAAUAUUUUUGGUUUUCACAAAGCUCUAUUAUCAUUGAUUGUUCCUUAGUCUGAUGAAUAUUUCUAUUAAACAUCCAAAAAAUAACCAAAAGAAGUGCCAUGUUACCUCUCCAAUUGGUCAUGUUUUACCGAAAAACAAAAGAACAAAAAAUUAGAAAAGAGAGAACUCUUUUGGUCAUUGGCACUCUGGUUCUUCGACCUUGAUUUUACAUGUGCCAGCUACUUAGGGGUCCAAUCAUCUGUUCUUUCUUUACUUUUUUUUCUGGGUAAUUAUCUUGUUGUUUAUUAUAGAAGUUGUGUUGUAUAGUGCGAAAGGCCAAGAGCUAAGAAAUACUUCCGAGUCCGGCAAGUAAUGGAACAAUUCUAUUCACAAUAACAAGGAGAAAAAGAUUUAAUCUACACUUGAUAAGUAGCAAUCUGAAUAGGAGUUGGGUACUAUUUUGGACGCAUGAAUGCGUAACUACAUCUUCAUUGCCCCUAUUCAUAAUAAUUUCAAAUUUUGUUUGCAUUGAAAAAUUUGACGAAGGAUUUAAAAUUCAUUUAAAUCACUUAAUUGUUUGACUUGUUUAAGAGGCAUUUAAUUUUGUAAUUCAUCAAUUAUCUAAGUAUUACUUAAAUAUUAGAAUACUUAGUGAUUUAUGAGUUCAAAUUUCUCUUAUAUCUUCAAAUUCUUUAUUAAAUUUCUUAAUCCAAACGUAGCCUGAUUUUAUAUAUUAUGUUUUUCUUUGUAACUGUUCCUACCCUAAGGAGAAAAUAGGGAUAAUUUCACAAACCGCCCUGAGGUUUCUGACACUUGCACUGAGACCCCUCCAAGUUUUAAAAAUUUCACCUAGCUGCCUUGUUUUUCAAAUUUGGUAACAAUUCAGUCCAAUUUGGAUUAAAAUAUUACUAUCAUGAUAGAGAUGACAUUUAUAUUCCAUGAAUACCCUCUUCCUCCCUAUAUUAGUACAAGAUUACUUGUUAAUAAAAAGGUAGAGAUGAUUAUGGGUAUUUUAUUCUAUAUCAUUUAAUUUAUGUUAAAUACAUAAAUAUUUGCAAAUAAAAUUCAAAAGCCGUUACACAAAUAUUUUUACGAAAGGAAAACUAGCAUGUUUUGUAUUUAAUAUAAAUGAAGUAUUUGAAAGUAAAAAAAAAUGUCCAUAACAUCCCAGUUCUUUACGAGUUUCUUCCAUUAUAUGAAUAAAGUACUAACUAUUUAUGAGUAUUUUAUUUUGAAUCAUUUAAUUUAUAUUAAAUACAUAAAUGUUUAUAAGUGAAAUUCAAAAAGUGUUACACUAAUAUUAUUACGAAAGGGAAACUAGUAGGUUUUGUAUUUAACAUAAAUUAAAUACGUGAAAAUAAAAAAAAAAUUACCCACUUUUUACCAGUUCUUUACGGGUUUCUUCUAUUAUAUGAAUAAAAUAUUAGCUAUUUAUAGGCAUUUUACUCUGAAUCAUAUAAUUUAUGUUAAAUACAUAAAUGUUUGUAAGUAAAAUUUAAAAAGUGAUAUACUAAUAUUUUUACGAAAGGAAAACUAGUAGGUUUUGUAUUUAACAUAAAUUAAAUACGUAAAAGUAAAAAAAGAAAAGAAAUUGCCCAUAACAUAUCAGCUCUUUAUGGGUUUCCUCUAUUACACGAACAAAGUAAUAGUUAUUUAUGAGCAAAAAGAAAUAUCCCAUAAAGUACCAACUCUUUAUGGCCUUUGUCUAUUAUAUGAACCAAGUACCAAAUUUUUAUGGACAUUUUAUUCUGAAUCAUUUAAUUUAUGUUAAAUACAUAAAUAUUUGCAAAUAAAAUUCAAAAGCUGUUACACAAAUAUUUUUACGAAAGGAAAACUAGUAUGUUUUGUAUUUAAUAUAAAUGAAAUAUUUGGAAGUAGAAAAAAAAUUGUCCAUAACAUACCAGUUCUUUACGAGUUUCUUCCAUUAUAUGAAUAAAGUACUAGCUAUUUAUGAGUAUUUUACUUUGAAUCAUUUAAUUUAUAUUAAAUACAUAAAUGUUUAUAAGUGAAAUUCAAAAAGUGUUACACUAAUAUUAUUACGAAAGGGAAACUAAUAGGUUUUUAUUAACAAGCAAUCUUGUACUAAUAUAGGGAGGAAGAGGGUAUUCAUGAAAUAUAAAUGUCAUCUCUAUCAUGAUAGUAAUAUUUUAAUUCUAAUUGGACUGAAUUGUUACCAAAUUUGAAAAGCAAGGGAGCUAGGUGAAAAUUUUAAAACCUAGAGGGGUCUCAGUGCAAGUGUCAGAAACCUCAGGGGAGGUUUGUGAAAUUAUCCCGAGAAAAUAUUUACGAUAAGAGGCAAUAUAUGUUAUAAGGGCAAUAAAAUUGUAUCAGUUGCUAUGGAGAUGAAAAAUUUUAUGGUGCAAUAUGUUUGUGUACGUCUUAGACAGGUCAGUGAUUUUGGGUAAAGAUAUUGAUUUACUUAAAUUUUCUGAAAUGAUCAACUCGCUAAUGAAAUCAUUAACUACGCCUUAAAAAUGUACCUUGGUUUCCUUCACCUAAUUUCUCUUGUGAUGAUCUCAAUUAGACGAGAGUUACAAAAAGGGUAAAGCGAACUUGACAAGGGACCGGUGACGUGCAAACAAUAAGCAGAAGUAAAAACUUAGGAUGGUCUAAAAAAAUCUAUGGUGCAGGUAAUAAGAGGAACUAAACUGACUUAUAAUAAUAAAGUUUAGUGCCUAUAUCGACUUUGUUAAAAUAGCUGAAGGGCUAAACUGGCUCAUAAUAAAGUUUAGAAACUAUUUUGAAAUUAGCAAAAUAGUUUAGGGACUAAAUUGUUGUUUUACUCCUUUUGUCAUUAAACCUGGCGUGUGGCUUAGCCAGUUUUUGUUAGCAGCUUUCAAUUGCUAAUUAAUUGUGUUGAACUGGACAAGACAAUUGAUUCAUUUAAUCUGUUAAAGGGACAGGUGAAUAGGCAAAAAUAAGGUCAAUUAAUGAUGAAGUUGAUAUCCAAAAUUGAAAAAAGAAGAAAAUGAUUAUUAAAACCAAAUCAAAUGCAUAAGCCAGAUUAUCCAUUUUGACUAAGUAAAAGAAGUCUCUUGCAUAGUUGACAAGGUAAGAACAGUAGUCGAAAUAAAAUAAUUGUCACUACUCAGUCAAAUAUGCAGCCAAAACCUUCAAUUUUCGGACAAAUAUGGGCACCAUAUCGACCAAGAUCUGAUAAAUAUGGGUUUUGGACUCGUGUACUUAGAUUUAUUAUUGGUCAAUAACGUAAACAAGUAAACAAAAUAUUAAAGCGGCUGCAUUUUAGAAUGCUUUUAGUAGUAGAUCACCCUUUAAAUUUCAUAUUAGGAUCUUUCAACUUUAAAUAUUAUUUGGAAUAAUUACUAUAAUAUUUUUUUUACUGUGAUGUAUAUGAGAUAAAAAGGUGAUUGAGAACAUAAAAACGUAAGUUGAAAAAUAUGUUUAUAAUAUACCAAAAUAUUAUUAUUUGAAAUAACUUAACUAUCUAAAGUCUAAACAUUUUCCUUUAAAUAACAAUAAUGUCAUGCCUUGGUGCAAGAAUUGUAUUGUUAAAUAGAAAUAAAAUUUUUUAAAAUUGUGACAAUAUUAGGCUUUCUUAUUGCUUGUAAACCGAUCUGUAGUCUUUUUUUUUUUUUUUUUCCUCUCGGUUGUAAAACAAAACUUACCAAUUAAUUGUGGUGAGGAAAGAAUCUUACAAGGCACAGUAGCACUUUCACUUUCUCGGCAAGCACGUAAUUUGCUUCAACACCUCCACAUGCCGGCGCAUCUCCUUCUCUAAUUCAACACGUUUUGCUUCAACAUAUGAUGACCGGACUGAGACAACAGGAGCCGAGACGGCACGGGAAUGACUUUCUCAACCCCUUCAAUCUAUAAAACCAGCUGUGUUUGCAUUCAUUUUGCAACUCAAAAAUCUGCUCACCAAAGUGAUUAUUGACAGCUAAACUUCUUAUCUUUCAGCAUUCACCUUGAUAAAUCAGCAAUCAUCCAAUAAAAUGGCAUCAUCAUCAUCAUCUUUUCGUAUACUGUGCAUCUUGUUAUUAUGUUGUUCCAUUGCAUUCGGAUCUGACCCCAGCCCUCUUCAAGACUUGUGUGUUGCAGAUACAACAAGUCCAGGUAUGAUUAUUUCCUGAAAACUAGCUCUAAUUAGGUACUAGAAAAUAAUGUUAACUGUCACUUUUUUCCUUUUGUGUUUUUUUUUUGGUUACUUUUUUCUGUUUCAUGUUUUGUCUCUGAACCUUUUUAGUUUUGUCGUUUGCAGUUAUGGUGAAUGGCUUUGUUUGCAAGGAUCCAAAACUUGUACAAAAAAAUGAUUUCUUCUUUAGCGGGCUUCACUUGGUUGGCAACACAUCAAAUGCAGUUGGGUCAAGAGUGACUCCUGUAGCUGUUGCCCAAAUCCCAGGGCUUAACACUCUAGGAAUAUCUUUGGCUCGAGUGGACUAUGCACCUUGGGGCAUUAAUCCUCCACAUACUCAUCCUCGAGCCACUGAAAUCUUGACUGUCAUUGAAGGUACACUGCAGGUUGGUUUUGUCACAUCAAACCCUGAGAAUCGAUUGUUCAUGAAAGUGUUGCAGAAGGGGGAUGUGUUUGUAUUUCCAGAAGGUCUCAUCCAUUUUCAGCGCAACGUGGGAUAUGGUAAUGCUGUUGCCAUAGCUGCUCUCAGCAGCCAAAAUCCCGGUGUUAUCACAAUUGCAAAUGCUGUUUUUGGCUCUGAACCAGCUAUCCCUAGUGAUCUUCUUGCAAAGGCCUUCCAAGUUGAUGGGAAGAUAAUUGACCAGAUACAGUCCAAAUUCUAAACAAAAUUUCCCACCUUUAACACCCCAAAUACAAUUCUUUUGUUGUAUUAAUUCGUCUACUUCAUUAAGUUGUUUAUUGUAUUGAUUCUUUGGAUUCUUUGUAUUACUUGAAAAUUCUUUAUUUCAGAAAUAACUUUUUAAGUCUGAUCCUUGUCUCUAUGUUCUGGAUAUGUUGUGCAGUUUUGUCUAUUCAUUAGCAUUAAGACAAUUUGGUUUUCUUAUUAUUUCAUGGUGUCUGUUUGUGCUAAAUAUUAAAGCAAUGUUUUUAAACUCGAAAUAGCUAGUCAGUCGAUCAGCCUACCAAUUCUCAAUUCUACCUGUUCAUUGAUUCAAUGAUUCUCUCUCUUUCUCUUGCUCUUUUUUUUUUUUUUUUUUAAAUAAUCUUAGCAAACACUAAAUCAUCUAAUGCAAAAAGUAAGAAAUUUCUCAAAUAUCAUAAAAAAGCAAGGGCAAAAAAAAUAGAAAUCUCAUGUCUCAAAUAUUAAGGUAACAAAUUAUUACUCCAAAUCUAGCUUGAGAAGAAAAAGAACGGGAGCACUGUGAAAGGAAAGGAACUAACAUCAUCUUCAUCUUCUUCCCAUUUAGAUAAAUUUACUAAGACAAUCUUCAUUUUCUUCCUGUUUACAUAAUUUCAAAUCAGCAUCUCCAAUUAUAAACACAUUACCAUUUUUGUGUUUAAUAAACAUAAGAAAAAGAUUGUUUUAGAAAAAAGAAAGAAAGAAAGAAAUAGAUCUUAAUGAAAGAAAAGCAUAAAGAAGAGAAAAGGAAAAUAAAAUAAUUGUAAUUUGAAGAGAUCAACUGAUCAAGAAUGUAAAAGUGCCUUUCAUCAAACAACAUUAGAAACAAAGAAUGAAAGCUGAUUUAGGUAACAAAAAGGACAGGAAUGAAGAGGAUACCGUAACAGAAAACACGGCUUUUUUUGUUUUUUAAUGGUUGUUUACGUCUGUUAAUGUAAAGGAUGAGUAUAUUUUCAUCAUUAUAUAUAAGUUGUGACCCAUCAUGCCAUGGUCAACGAACGCCCCGAGUUGCAUUGAGUUCGUAGGUUAAUGUUUAGAAGUGGCGCAAAGGUGACCAGAGCCCAAAUUUGGACCAUUUUGUGAAAAGGGGGAAAAAAAACCUCAACCUUUCCAGUUCGAUGGUUUCUAAUCGGUUCCACAAGUUUGAUCGGUUAUUAUUCAUUUUGUCGAUUUAACAUAUAACUAGGAUGGCAUCAUGGACGGUUCUUGAUUGAGUGGAUUUUCAUGUACAUGAAACUAAGGGUCUGUUUGGUUGGAAGUAAAAUGUUUUCCUUGGGAAAAUAUUUUCCGUGGAAAUUAUUUUCCAUGAAAAUCAUUUCCCUUUCAUCAUUUUCAGGUGUUUGGUUAGUUUAUUGAAAAUAUUUUCUUACUUCAUUUUUCUGGUGUUUGUUUAACUUUUGAAAUAUUUUCACUUUUAUCUCUAUCUUUACUUUCUACACAUUAUAACUACAUACUUCUUCCCAUGCAAAAUAAGAAAAUUUAUCUCAUUGUUUAACUUUAAAAAAUCUUGGAGAAAUGUAUAUAUGAAUAAAAAAUAUCUCCUUAAGCAAUAAACAAAUUGCUGGCCAUUUAGUGUCAAAUAUCAAUCACAUGCAAUGCUUAUUGUGACAUAUAUCUUGCACUCUCACCGUUGAAAGUUUCUCUAGAAAAGAAUGUCCCUAUUAUACAUAAUUAAUUACUAGCAUAGGAUGAGCAGGAUGAGGUUUUUUUUUUAUUUUGAAUAUACUAGGGGAGGGUUGGGUUGGGUGGUAUGGGGGAGGGAGUGUAAGGAAGAGGUUUUGGGUUCGAGUCCUCUUGUUUACACUAAAAAAAAAAAAGAACAUACUACAAGAUGUUUUCAGUAAGUUUGAAACAUACUAGGCGGGAUGCAUGCAUUUCGGAAAACAACUUCAGUAAGUUUGGAAGGAAAGUUGUUUUCCAUAAGAUGAGUGAAAAUAUUUUACAUAGGAAAAUGUUUUCAGUAACUUUUGUGCAACCAAACACGGGAAAUUAGGAAAAUAUUUUUCUGGAAAACAUUUUCACCUAAAACAAACGGACCCUAAAUAAACUAGGACUUUAAACUUCACUAUGUGAGUAGGGGAGCCAAAUGCUAGCUAGUAAGAAUCGAUUCAUUGCGAUAAUGAGUUUUGGUUCAUGUUGAAAAUGAAAUCCCUAACAAGACACAAGUAAUAGCAAGAGAAUGAUAUUUGAAAAGAAAUCCCUAACAAGAUAGAAGUAAUAGCAAGAAAAAGAUUAUUUUACUUGUAUUUUUGACCAUUGGUGGAAUCUGUGUUCUAGAACUUUGUAUUUGAUAAAUUUUUCCUCUAAAAAGGUUUCCUUCCACAAGUUAGCUUCAUAAUUCUAGUUAGUUGAUAUAAUUGUUUUUUAUUGCUUUAAUUGAUUAUUAUCUAAAUAAUAGAGUAACUAAGGAUCUAGCAAUUAGAAUGUAAGUUCCUCGUGGGAUCGAUCUUUAUACACCCUAAACUAUAAUCAUGACCUGUAUAUUUAUAGAAAAUCAGUGUAUUUAAAAUUAAAUUUGACUGCAUAUUUGAACCCCGUCAUAAGAAAAGGAUAAGAUCUACAAACAAGAGAAAAGAAAAGAAAAAGUAAUUGUAAUUUCAAGAGAUCAAGAUCCCCUCCAUUUCCUCUCCUCCACAGCUCCACUCCCCAAAAACAGCCACUCUUUCACACACACUCAAGUCAUCCACCCAACAAAAAAUCCAACCCAAAAAAAAAAACACCAAAAACAGAAGCGAAAAUGAGAGAAAUCCUUCACAUUCAGGGUGGCCAAUGCGGCAACCAGAUCGGAGCCAAGUUCUGGGAGGUCAUUUGCGACGAGCACGGCAUUGACCACACUGGAAAGUACUCCGGCGACUCAGAUCUUCAAUUGGAGCGCAUCAAUGUCUACUACAACGAAGCCAGCGGCGGAAGAUAUGUUCCCCGGGCUGUUCUCAUGGACCUUGAGCCCGGUACCAUGGAUUCCGUCAGGUCCGGCCCUUAUGGUCAGAUCUUCCGCCCGGAUAACUUUGUUUUUGGACAAUCCGGUGCUGGGAAUAAUUGGGCUAAAGGGCAUUAUACUGAGGGUGCUGAGUUGAUUGAUGCUGUUCUUGACGUUGUUAGGAAAGAAGCUGAGAAUUGUGAUUGUUUGCAAGGUCGAAUUUCGUUUUCCUCUUUCAAUUUUAUGGAACUUCGGUUUAAUAUUAAUUAGAUCUGGGUUUUGUUUUUCUUUAUUGUUGGAAUGUUGUUUUUUGGGUAUAGAUCUGCAUUUUUUGCUAUAUUCCAUUUGCGGAGAGUUAUGAAAAUUUGCUGGAUCUAGCUUUUGGGUUUUGUGAAAAUUAACGGAUUUAUGGUGUAUAUUUGAUUUUGCAUCGUUCUUCACCUGAGAAUUGUAGUGCACGCACGUGAUAUCCUAAUUUAAAGUCUGUGAAAAUGGCGCGCUUGGAUUCUUGAUUUUGGGCUAUUCCUUUUUCUCUUUUUCGUUGUACAAUAGGUACAAUAUGGAAAUGCCCUUUACAGUAAAUGGCCUAAAUUCGUGCUAUUUGUACUAAUUAUGCUUCCAAACGUCUCUAUCUCAUUGGCUUUUGGUUUCGUAACUGGAAUGCAUUUGGGUUUUGUAAUUUUGCCAUCUACGCCUCUGAAGGAAGCUUUUUCGAGUUGGUAGAUCUCACUUUUGUUGAGGAUGUAGGUAUAUACGAAUUUUUUAUAUUGAUGUUAUCAUUGCCAAUUUAAAAUCAGUGGUGAUUUCAUUUAGGUGACAUUUAAUAGCUUUUUUUUUCUAACUUGCUUACCUGUCAUGCUAAUGUGUGGAAUGGUUUUGUGGUGGUCUCACGAGGCAGUAUGUUGUUUAUUUGUUAACCUGAGGCUGAUGUAAUUGAGAUGAAAUUUUAGAUACUGGUGCUUAGAUUUUGGUUGGCUGUAUCUUGAUUGACGUAUUGCUUGCUGUUAAUGAUUAGUGCUGAUGAUUAUGUUGUUUAAUAGGAUUUCAAGUGUGUCAUUCAUUGGGUGGAGGUACUGGAUCUGGUAUGGGCACACUUCUCAUUUCAAAGAUCAGGGAGGAGUAUCCAGACCGCAUGAUGUUGACGUUUUCGGUCUUUCCUUCUCCUAAAGUAUCUGAUACUGUGGUCGAGCCAUACAAUGCUACACUGUCUGUCCACCAACUUGUUGAGAAUGCAGAUGAAUGCAUGGUUUUGGAUAACGAGGCUCUAUAUGACAUCUGUUUCCGUACUCUCAAGCUGGCUACUCCUACUUGUAAGUCCUCAUGCUGACUACUUAGGUUUGAUAUUUGACUUUAAUAUUAACUUUGUGGUAUGCAUUUUUAACCCAUAUUUAUGGUCUGGUGGCUAGGGGAUAGGGGUUAAUGCCCUUCGCUGAUCCCCUGACCAGUCAGGGUGGGAGGGAUUUGGGGUAAAAAAGGGGGGGGGGGAGGGGCCAGAAAAAAGCCCAGGUUUAUGGUAAAACAGCUUGGGCUUGAAAUUCCUAAAGAUUUUAUGGUUUUUGGUUUUUCCCUUUUUUUUCAAUAAUUAAUGGGUAGAGGUUAAAUGUGGUAAUAAGUUUUACUGUAGUAUUGGUCACUUAUUAGCCACUCCAUGUGCUUGGUUGGUGGUGGUUGUUCUUUGGCGUUUUCUUUUCGGCCACAGUUUACAUUCUUAACGUGCCUCUCUUCAUUUGGUUGAUUAACUUCAGUUUUUCAAUGCAUACACAUGCUCUGUCUCCAUCUCCCUCUCUUUCCCUCUCUCUCACACACACACACAAAACAAAAACAUCAAGGACAUAGGUUUAACUGAUGUUCUAGAAAUAUGGGAUGUUUUGGUUGUUAGUUUGCUUCUUGUAUUUGCCUGAGACUAGUUUAUAUGAAAGCUUUUGACAUGGAUCAAAAUUUGAACCGGGAACACUUGCUAAAUUGUGCUUGUUUUUGGCUGUACUUCAGUUGGUGAUCUCAACCACCUCAUUUCUGCUACCAUGAGUGGUGUCACAUGUUGUCUUCGCUUCCCUGGACAGUUGAACUCUGACCUGCGUAAACUUGCCGUUAACCUUAUCCCAUUCCCACGACUCCAUUUCUUCAUGGUGGGCUUUGCACCUUUAACAUCCAGGGGUUCCCAGCAAUACCGUGCUCUCACUGUCCCUGAGCUGACACAGCAGAUGUGGGAUGCAAAAAACAUGAUGUGUGCUGCUGACCCACGUCAUGGUCGGUACUUAACUGCUUCAGCCAUGUUCCGUGGCAAGAUGAGUACCAAAGAGGUUGACGAACAGAUGAUCAAUGUCCAGAAUAAGAAUUCAUCUUACUUCGUUGAAUGGAUUCCCAACAAUGUCAAGUCCAGCGUAUGCGAUAUCCCACCCAAGGGUCUGAAAAUGGCAUCUACUUUCAUUGGCAAUUCAACUUCCAUCCAGGAAAUGUUCAGGCGUGUAAGUGAGCAAUUCACAGCUAUGUUUAGGCGCAAGGCUUUCUUGCACUGGUAUACUGGUGAAGGAAUGGAUGAAAUGGAGUUUACCGAGGCUGAGAGCAACAUGAAUGAUCUGGUAGCUGAAUACCAGCAAUACCAGGAUGCCACUGCUGAUGAUGAGGAAUAUGAAGAGGAGGAAGAAGAAGUAGGAGCAACAGCAUGAGGCAUCUUUCACAUUUCAUCAGUUUGCUGGAGGGUUAUGGUCUGUUU
rnacentral:lncRNA from 1 species